rnacentral:rRNA from 1 species
GUAAGGAAUAUUGCUCAAUGGGAGAAAUCCUGAAGCAGCAACGCCGCGUGGAGGAUGAAAUACUUUUGUAUGUAAACUCCUGUAAGAGGGGAAAAAUAUACAGUUUUGCUGUAUUGAUUGUACCCUCAGAGUAAGCACCGGCUAACUACGUGCCAGCAGCCGCGGUAAUACGUAGGGUGCUAGAGUUGUCCGGAUUUACUGGGUGUAAAGGGUGCUCAGGUGGGUUUGUAAGUCAGAGGUGAAAUCCCAAAGCUUAACUUUGGAGCUGCCUUUGAUACUGCAAGUCUUGAGUUUGAGAGAGGGCAAUGGAAUAUCUGGUGUAGCAGUGAAAUGCGUAGAUAUCAGAUAGAACACCAAUGGCGAAGGCAGUUGCCUGGCUCAAAACUGACGCUAAAGCACGAAAGUGUGGGGAGCAAACAGGAUUAGAUACCCGAGUAGUCC